CGUGUGUAUCAUCGUAAGUGUAUCGUAACCAAGAAGAGUGCUUUCUUUCACGUCCGCACUUUUAUCGAGUAUGGCAUGCCAAAUAAACAUUUUUUUAAAUAAUUAUCAUGGAUGGCGAAUUAUGGCGAUAUUUUUGUAUCAACAUUAAUACAACUAAAGAAUUUUAGUCCGUUUUCAAUAUUAAUUCAAGAUAUAUGACGCUUACAGUCA
rnacentral:lncRNA from 1 species